GAUGAACGCUGGCGGCGUGCCUAAUACAUGCAAGUCGAGCGAACAGACGAGGAGCUUGCUCCUCUGACGUUAGCGGCGGACGGGUGAGUAACACGUGGAUAACCUACCUAUAAGACUGGGAUAACUUCGGGAAACCGGAGCUAAUACCGGAUAAUAUAUUGAACCGCAUGGUUCAAUAGUGAAAGACGGUUUUGCUGUCACUUAUAGAUGGAUCCGCGCCGCAUUAGCUAGUUGGUAAGGUAACGGCUUACCAAGGCAACGAUGCGUAGCCGACCGGGGAGGGUGAUCGGCAACACUGGAACGGAGACACGGUCCAGACUCCUACGGGAGGCAGCAGUAGGGAAUCUUCCGCAAUGGGCGAAAGCCUGACGGAGCAACGCCGCGUGAGUGAUGAAGGUCUUCGGAUCGUAAAACUCUGUUAUUAGGGAAGAACAAAUGUGUAAGUAACUAUGCACGUCUUGACGGUACCUAAUCAGAAAGCCACGGCUAACUACGUG
rnacentral:rRNA from 1 species